CGGAUGUAGCCAAGUGGAUCANGGCAGU
rnacentral:tRNA from 3 species